UAAGGUUACGAUGAGGAUUCUUAGCUCCCUCUUCUGAAGUAAGUUUGAAGAGAGAUGGCUGGCAGAAUCGAACCUAUGACUUUAUCGCCACCACUGAGUAA